UAAGAUUUGAUACGAUUGUUACGCGAUACUACACUCAUAAGAGUCUCUCUUGAGAAUAUUUUUGGAAUACGAGUAAUCGUUUCUCCGAUAAUAUCCGAAAGAUGGGAUGAUGAUUAUGGGAACCUCUUGUAGAACAUGCUUGGCAGGUUAAACCCUAGUACACUCCCUUUGGGUGGUUCUUAACCGAGACUCCAUGCUCGUGAC
rnacentral:lncRNA from 1 species